UACGGAAGGCAGCAGUGGGGAAUAUUGCACAAUGGGCGAAAGCCUGAUGCAGCUAUGCCGCGUGUAUGAAGAAGGCCUUAGGGUUGUAAAGUACUUUCAUCGGGGAGGAAAAACAAAACUAAUAAUUUUAUUUCUUGACGUUACCCGAAAAAGAAGCACCGGCUAACUCCGUGCCAGCAGCCGCGGUAAUACGGAGGGUGCUAGCGUUAAUCAGAAUUACUGGGCGUAAAGAGCACGUAGGUGGUUUUUUUAAGUCAGAUGUGAAAUCCCUGGGCUUAACCUAGGAACUGCAUUUUGAAACUGAAAUACUAGAGUAUCGUAGAGGGAGGUAGAAUUCUAGGUGUAGCGGUGAAAUGCGUAGAUAUCUGGAGGAAUACCUGUGGCGAAAGCGGCCUCCUAAACGAAUACUGACACUGGAGGUGCGAAAGCGUGGGGAGCAAACAGGGAUUAGAUACC
rnacentral:rRNA from 1 species